CUGCGUCUCAAGAGUUUAAUUACAAACUGUACUUCACGUGUAUACUGAGUAAGUGAAAGAGUGACUUUUGAUAAAGAUGCAUAUGCUGCUGCAAUUAUGUCUGGUAUAUGCGCUGAUUGUGGAAUGUUCUGCACAAAAACCGGGCGCAUGCCCACCUGGCGGCAUAAGAAUUACUGUGUGCAUGUCCGAUUGCGAGACCGAUCGUGAUUGCCCCGGUGCACAGAAAUGCUGCAAAUAUAGCAGCUGCAUGUUCACCUGUGAGAAACCAAUCUUUGGCAAGUAUCGUCCAACAGGACGUCCGUGACACCACCUGUUUAGCGCUGCCUGAUACGCGGAUCUGGAUCUCUUGAGUUCAAUUAAAACAAUGGUAUCAAACAAAACGUGUUAAGAGUUUGCGUUUAACAUGUCUCACAUAAUUAUUAUACAAUUAAAGGACGAACAUUU